rnacentral:lncRNA from 1 species
UUCUAUUUAAAAAAUAUUUUUAAUUUUUAAACCUUAUUUUAAACUAAGACACACACACUAGCCUAGGCUUGCACAGAGUCAGGAUCAUCGAUAUCACUCUCUUCCACCUCCACCUCUUGUUCCACUGGAAGGUCUUUAGGGGCAAUAACACUCAUGAAGUUGUCAUCUCCUAGGAUAAUAAUACUUUCUUCAGGAUUACCUCCUGAAAGACCUGCCUGAGACUGUUUUACAGUUAACUUUUUAAAAAUGUAUUUACUAUACUGUACUUUUUGUCAUAAUUUUAGAGUGUUCUCCUUACAAUACGAGGGCACAUUUGUUUCCUGCCUAUGAUAGUAAAGAUAAUGUCUUCCUCUGGAACAAAGAUAGGACAGAUUUUCUAGCAGUACCUUACAUGAUUUUGAGUUUCCUAAGCCCUGGAUUCCACAGCUGUCCCACAAAUCUAUUGUGUGUCCACUUGAGUUCACUUCUGCAUUGCCCCCUAUGGGACUUGUCAGGAGAGGAAGCAAAGGAAGUGCAGUGAACAUAAAGCUCUUUGCAGGCCACUGUUACAUAAGUAAUAAAGUUCUUUGUCUUUAACCCAGGAAUGUCAUGUCUUCUACUAGCAUCUAUGAAACUGUAAAACGCUAAUUCAUUAGUUUGAAAGCAGGGUAAAAUCUGAAAAUCAUUUUUUUGACAUAGGCAGAUUAUAGUCUUUCUUUAAUGCCUGGUAAUUUUGUAUUAAAUCCUAAAUUAAGUAAUACAUUGUUCAGUGCUAUAUUAAAGUAUUUCCUUUAAAUAAUUUUUGUUUGUGAAGUUUUCCAGUUAAAUUUCUUGGAAUGUGUUGUAUUUGUACAUCCAUCAAGGUGAUGCCCUUCAGAAGACUCUAUAGAAUACAGAUUACAAACUCUUCUCUGGUUGAUGGCAACUUUAUGUCUAGCCCUGUGUGAGCUCUGGAAGUUGUGUAAUCUACCUCUUACUAUUAAAUUUUUCACUUGAGUUCAGUGGUUUCCGCUGAAGUAUGUGAAUAUUAGUACUCAGGAAAAGACUAAAAAGGAUUCCUCUACAUAUCUCCAGAAUCUCUCUGGGCAGCUACCAUCUUUCUAGUCCCUUACCCAUGAAUUCUAGUCGUUUUCACUCAGGGAUACCACCUGAGUGUUCUGUUUCUUCAACUCAGAGAGACCACCAGCCUAUGUUUAGGCUCCCCUCCUCACUCUGUGACCCACAAACUUCUUCCAGGCAAUACAAAAUGGGGAGAAUAACAAGGCUCAUUUCUUUUGUUUCUUUUCUGUCAGGGAUUAUGAUCCCUGUGCUUCUGGUUGUCCAAUGUUUAAAAUCCAUUGUUUUGUAUAUUUUGCUCAGUUUUUUAGUUAUAUACAGCAGAAGAGUAAAUUGAGUCUCCAUUACACUAUCAUUACCAACAGUGGAAGUAUACUUGCAUUUUUAGAGUUUAAAAAACAAUUUUGUUACUAUAGAAAUAGCUUUAGAUAUAGAAAAUUGAAUUAUUUCCAAAAAAUAAAGAAUGGAAGACAGGAUAAGGAAAAAAACACAAUUCU